UUAAAGGGCAAUUACAACAUUUUUAUUAGUGUUGGCCGGCCAUGUGAUGGGUUUUAAGUAAAUAGUCAAAGGGUUAGGUGGAUGAUGUCAUGAUUUAGUGAUAAAAUAAUGCCUAAAAGCCUAGCUAUCAUUUCUUUCUUCUCCAUCUCUCUUCUUCACCGAAAAUAUCAGAAAAAAUGGAGUUUUGAAGGCUAAAAAUUUUCA
rnacentral:lncRNA from 1 species